rnacentral:rRNA from 1 species
AGUGAACGCUGGCGGUAGGCCUAACACAUGCAAGUCGAACGGCAGCACAGUAAGAGCUUGCUCUUACGGGUGGCGAGUGGCGGACGGGUGAGGAAUACAUCGGAAUCUACUUUUUCGUGGGGGAUAACGUAGGGAAACUUACGCUAAUACCGCAUACGACCUACGGGUGAAAGCAGGGGAUCUUCGGACCUUGCGCGAUUGAAUGAGCCGAUGUCGGAUUAGCUAGUUGGCGGGGUAAAGGCCCACCAAGGCGACGAUCCGUAGCUGGUCUGAGAGGAUGACAGGCCCAACUGGAACUGAGACACGGUCCAGACCCCUACGGGAGGCAGCAUGGGGGAAUAUUGGACAAUGGCGCAAGCCUGAUCCAGCCAUACCGCGUGGGUGAAGAAGGCCUUCGGGUUGUAAAGCCCUUUUGUUGGGAAAGAAAAGCAGCAGGUUAAUACCCCGCUGUUCUGACGGUACCCAAAGAAUAAGCACCGGCUAACUUCGUG